GCGCAGAGCGCGGAGGAGCCGCGAGCGCUGAGGGAGUCUGCACUAUGGAAACAACCUGUCAAUCCAGCUCAAGGCACACAUAGCCCAGACACCCAUGAGACCCUCUCCGUGGGGACCCUAGAGCACCUAUCAUGAACGAGGAGACCAAGGCCGGCUCCUCAUGGACCCCGUUGGCCUCCAGCUCGGCAACAAGAACCUGUGGAGCUGUCUUGUGAGGCUGCUCACCAAAGACCCAGAAUGGCUGAACGCCAAGAUGAAGUUCUUCCUCCCCAACACGGACCUGGAUUCCAGGAACGAGACCUUGGACCCUGAACAGAGAGUCAUCCUGCAACUCAACAAGCUGCAUGUCCAGGGUUCGGACACCUGGCAGUCUUUCAUUCAUUGUGUGUGCAUGCAGCUGGAGGUGCCUCUGGACCUGGAGGUGCUGCUGCUGAGUACUUUUGGCUGUGAUGAUGGUAAGGGCAGGUGUGAGAGACGCAAAGCAGCCGGGCCAGUACCUGUGUCAUGGGGAGCCGGGAGGAGCCCAGGGACCCACCUAAGUCAGAGAGAGGGUGUAGCCC
rnacentral:sRNA from 1 species